rnacentral:lncRNA from 1 species
GGCACUCAUUCAAUGAUUAAUAACAAUGCAUGAUCCCUUGUAGAUAAACUCCGUAGGAAUGCUGUCCACUGCAACACAUUAAGGUAACCGACUACAUAUACCCUUCACAUACAACUGUUCCGAGUUUAUAAGACGUGAGAUUAAAAGGUCAUGGCAAUACACUCCUCUCUUACAGCUGCAAAGAGGUCAGAGUUCAUGUAUCUCUCGCCCCCACUCGGGAAAAUGGUCACAAUCAUCUUCCCCUUGUUCUCUUCUCUCGCCGCAACCUGAAGAUACAUUCAUACAUUUCAAUUGGAAGAGUUGUUAAAUACUCCCUCCGUAAAGAAAUAUAAGAGAAAUAUAAGAGCUCUUAUAUUUCUUUACGGAGGGAGUAUCAAAGAAGGAAUGUAUGACAAAACUGAAAACAAAGUUAGUAACUCAUUUUUUUUCUUCUUUAAAUGCAAACCAGGUUUCUAGAUUUUCCAUUCAUACAGAAAAAAUCAAAUUAGAUAUGAGAUCUGAACCUUCAAGCAAGCUGCCAGGUUUGCCCCAGAAGAUAUGCCCACAAGAAGGCCUUCUUCCAUUGCCAACCUCCUGGCAUUCGUCAUUGCGUCCUGAGUGGUCACGGUGACCGUUUCGUCAAAGAUCGAGGUGUCCAAGAUCCUAGGUAAGAAUCCUGGUCCUAUUCCCUGGAUUUUAUGUUUUCCUGGCUCUCCACCUGAACAAUACCAACACGUAAGGCAACAGAGUGUCACUGUCACUACCGUACUAUUUUGCUGACGUUCCAGGGGUUUUAGGGGACUGGUACCACACAAUCUGAAGCAACCAUGUAGCCACAGAAUUAUCUGGACUGCAGGUUUCAAUCAAUCAUGAAGAUACAGUAAAAGCACGAUAUAUUGACAAUUAUUUGCUGCCUAAAAAUGGAAGCAUCCUUUCGAGAUGACAAGUGGAACAUUUUUCUAAAAAAAAUGACGACGACGAUUGGAACUAAUGGACUGACAACUAAACAGCAAGCAGAGUUACAACUGCAUUAGGAACAAAUAUUAGAUGCCAAAACAGUUUGCACAUUCUCUAUGAAGCAUAUAGAAGCACUAGAAAAUAUUUAUCUGGCCUUCAUUAGCCAUUACUGAUGAUUUCCAAGGGAUAUAUGGUAAGCACUCCAUCAGUUUUGAUUUUUUAAUUUCAACAUCAGAUUUUUUUUACCUGAAAUAACUGGACUUUCUGCAGGUUCCACACAAAUGAUCUUCACAUUUGGAUUUUGCAUCUUCAGAUACUUUCCGACACCACAUACAGUGCCUCCUGAGCCUGAACCGGCAACAAAUAUGUCCACCUUGCCAGCAGUAUCCUUCCAAAUCUCAGGUCCUGAAAACAGCAUACAUCUUUUUAAAGAAGUAACUUGCAAAAACAGAUCAAAAGAAAGUACUCCUUCCUUUGAAUAUCAUAGGUCAAGUCAUCUUGGACAGUACCAGUCCAUCUGAUGUGUGCAUCAGGAUUUGCUGGAUUCGAGAACUGAUCAAGAACAUGUACGUUCGGUAAUUCUUUCUUGAGCUGUUCGACCUUGUCAACUAAUCCCGGAAACCCAAGCGCUGGAUCUGUCAUGUGGUCACACAAAGGGAACAAGGUUAAUUACAAAUGCAAAUCACACUGACUGCAAGGAAAACCAGACCUAAGCAAAUAAAUAAACAUCUAUUCUUCCUUGAGGCAGGAAGCAACUAAGAUGAUGCUAUCUAUCUGGAACUUACCGGUUAUGAACAACUCAGCGCCCAUGUAUCUCAACAAGAUCUGCUUAUCAAGCGAGUAUUGGCCCGGCAUCACCGCAACGAACCUGUACCCUUUGCUAAGAGCAACCAGGACCAAUCCUAGGCCCAAAUUGCCGCUGGUCGCCUCGACUAGAGUCGUGACACCGGGUGAAAUCAGCCCAUUCUCUUCAGCAUCCUCAAUCAUCCUGAAGAAAACAUGAAGAAAUAGCACAACAUAAGCUCGCAAUUUCCCAGCAGUUGCAAAAUCAAUUCUGGGAAGUGCAAGAAGAUAUAGUACUUGAAACCACCACCUUAUGACACCAAUCCCUACGACCAAACAAUGAAAAUGAUGCAUAAAGCGUUAAUCCUAGCCUAAGUGUGAAUUUAGCUCCUUUUAGCCCCCGUUGACUUUUCACAAAUUGCCCAACUACUAGCACAAAUGAAACCAGCAGCUCUCUAACCUGAUACCAUCCCAGGAUUUGUGAAAAGAAACUAGCCUGAUCAGAACGAGUUAACACUUAACAGUACAGUACCUGAGAGCGCUGCGGUCCUUGACGGAGCAGAGGGGCUGACAGGCCUCGAUCUUGCCGACGAUGCGGGCACCCACCCCGUCCUUCCCGGCGAUCCGCUUCAGCUCGAUCAGCGGCGUCCACCCUAUAAGCUGAAGAAAAUCAAUCGCUCCCCAUGAGCCUCUCCUAAAUCCAAAGUUCCAAACCCACCUCAAUCUCUGUCAGAGUCGAUAUACAGGGGAAGGGGUCGAGGCUUGCCUGGGUGACGUCGGAGGCGAUGUGCUCCUCCUGCCCGGUCCCGCCGUCGGCGAGCAGGGAAGGGACUCCCCUCCUGCCAGUCCCGUCCGCCCCCUCCCCCGUCGCCAUGGGUGAAGCUGUUGCCCGACGGCCGGCGCUCCCCUGCCGGCUUCUUGGCUUCUCGCGGGAGAAAGACUGACAAGGCAGCAAGCUAGGAUCGAGAAGGGGACAAGCUAGGGAGUAUUUUUCUUCUUUCUUCGGAGCUUUGGUAGCUGCGCAGCCGAGUCUCCGGUCCGCUCCGACCCAAUGGCUAUUAAUUUAAGGAUCAAGAACGUGUCUUUUUUUUUGCCGCCAUUUCGCACCCCCUUGCAAUUGCGUAGAAACCCAAUCCUAUCCACUGGACUGUUCGCCGGAGAACGAGGGUUUUUCCGUCCACAGUUUCGAGCUUUGCGAUUGCAACAGGUACGGGGUCGCAAUCUCAUCUCAGAGCGUGUAUAAAUUAUAAGGGAGGUGCUUAAGACAAAUGCUUGAAUGGUUUUUCCUUCUUGUUUUUUGCCAUGUCCCAUUCGUCGGCAGUUUGGAGAGGGAGAGUUUAUUUGCUGCUUACCAUCGAUCAAAGUGAUUCUUUUUUUUAAACCGGCGUCUCACCCAGGUGCUUAAAGCAUGUUAAUAAUAUAGCCAGCUAAAGACUGUAUGAAACUGUUAGAGCAACUAUAAUAAGGUACAGUCAGCAGGCUGUAAGGAUUAAAAUACUAUAUUUUUGCUGAGUUGGAUGAGAGAGAAGAGGAGGGAGAAGGAAAACGGGCUCUUCGUGAAGAGCCAGCUCUAGCACGUGCUCUUAGGUGCUUUGUGAGAAUGAAAGAUGGGUCAUACUCCCUCCGUCCGGAAAUACUUGUCCUAAAGAUGAAUGUAUCUAGACUUAUUUUAGUUAUAGAUACAUCCAUUAUAUCUAUUUUUAGGACAAGUAUUUCCGGACGGAGGGAGUAUAUGAUAAAAGUAGUACUCUUUUAUAGUUAACUAUUGUACAAGCUAGGUAUAAGAUGAGCUAUAAGACUGCUUAUAGCCAACAGUUGGCUAUACUAUUAACCAUGCUCUUAUGUCAUCUAUAACCAUCAUCUAUAUGCAUCUAUACAACAAACAAUGUAGGCUAUAAGGUUGGCUAUUACAUUAGUAGUUUUCUUCAUUUUCUCUCUAUCUCUUUCUUCACAUUAAUUGUAUUUGCCUAGGAAUGUGUAUAUAGCUAGGCUCUUGCAUAAGAACCCACUCACCUUAUUUUUUUACAUCUCUCUUCUUCACAUAGGCAAAAAUGCCAUGCAAGCGGGCUAUAAGCCCACUAUUGUACUUGCUCUUAGAGCAUCCCAACGGCAGACCAACAAGUUGGAGAACGAGGUGUCCAGAAAAUUAAAACUUUGAGUACUUUCUUCUUUCCUAGUACUCCAUAAUUGCUAUCCAUACAAACUAUGACAUGGUAAUUAAAACUUCGCAACAUCGCAUCAUAGUUGCAUACACAAUGAAAAAACACAUGAAAAUCAGUGGAAAAAAAUUAAAACCAAAAAUUUCUUACUGUCCGGGGUCAUUUCACCAAAAACACUAGAGAAGCCGACCGUUGUGGCACCGGGUGACGCCGGAUCGUCCUCAUUCAACGGUGGGAGGGGCGGUAACGAGCCCCUAGGCGGUGUUCGAAGAGCCGAUGCCGCGAUGGGAGGGAUCGCCGAUAGCGGGGGCGUAGACGCUGUAGUUGCCUUGUUCGCGCGGGGUGCAGCCCCGACCCAUGGAUCCCACGAUUGCUUCUUCGCCUACGAGCAAGCAUUGGCGGCGAUGGUGCAUCGCAAGCUAUAUGAAGUGGACAACCUUCGACCUCUUACCUCCGGCGGUGGAAGGCAUGACUAUGAGGCCGGUGGUCACAUCGGGAAGGCCGGUGGCAUCGCGUCGGGUAUGCCUUCUAUGGCAAUCUUGUGACGGGCGAUGGCCACAACGGGAGGCGAUCGAGCGGUUGGGGUCCUACUACCACAAUGUCAUUUUAGGUCUUGUAGCAGUGGAGACCAACCACUCGUAUAGUAAUAUUUUGGUCUGAAUAAACAAAAAUGGUGACCAUGCAAGUUUUGUUUGGUCCGCUGUUAGAUACGUUUUUGGCAAAAAGAAACAUUUUUUUGUCACGGUUGCAUUCUUUGUAUGUUGUUGAAGAUGCUCUUAGAAAGCUGAUUUCAUCAAGCGUAACUCAUAUGGCUAAGUUCUUUGUAGUGGAAUCAAUCCAUCGAGGUUCAAGUUCUAUACUUGACACAUGUGCUCGCAUUUUUCUGGAUUUAUUUCAAUCAUUUUGGUGAUGUUUGUUCAGUGGGAGCCGACGUUUCCAUCGAUUAUGAUGUGCCUGUGGCGAGGUUCGGGUACUAUAAAGUCAGGGUGUGUGUACCAGCCAGAUAUCCUCCAAAAAUCUCCCGGUACAACCAUCCCUAACCUUCGAACCACUUCUAGUAUAAAACACGGGCUUUACUCUCAUCAAACCCUUUCAAAAGGGUGAGUCUGUGUGGCUAUCUUUUCACUUAAGACAAUUUUCUAUAGUGAAGGUACUUAUUUCGGCGCAACUAUAGCCACACACCCACUAACUGGAGCGUCCAAAGACCUAUGCACGCCCCGUUGAGGAACGUCCUCACAAUCUGUAGCCAGUCUGGUCUAUUUGGGAAGAUGGUGUUGAGAGAGCAACCUUCAAUCCUUCAUCAAUCAAUAUGCCAGAGAUGUUGCAGUUUUUGAUCAUGGAUCUCACGAUGGGGAAUUACUUGAUAUGUACAACCUGAUCGAGAAGUAAGGUUUCUCUCGUUAGACAUGUUGAAUGGGUCUACUUCUUCAUUGUUGUUUGCUAAUGUACAUGUCUUCAUUCUUCAAUGGGCCAUGUACUCCCUCCGAUUCAUCGUGGCGCACUUAGUAUGACUUUGUACUGCAGAGGGAGUAGUUGUUUAUCCAGUUACUUUUGUGAACUCCACUCAGAAAGUGCUUAAAUCUUCUAUCAUUCCCCUCUGGUCGAUUAUAUGUGAUCCUUUACGAGGGCCCUCUUAACUAGUUCAAUAUGUUUAAUUUUGUGUAGGUACUUAAGAUGAAUUAUAUUUGAGUAACUCUUAUGAGCACUUGUACACACUAAAUGAGACCAAGUGCAUUCCAGUAUCAAAUCAUACGUAUGCAUAGUUGAAGAAUCUACAAUAUUUUAAUAUUCACUGUUGAUUGUUAUAAAUGAUGACAUUUGAAUCCAACUAUAGGCCAAGCACAUAGUGUCAACUGGAUAUUAACUCAUGGUAACUUGCAAGACAUAUAUGAUGACACAAAAAUGGGUAAAGGAGCACAUUAACAAUCGAUGACAAGCUCCUCAUAAGAAAGUUGUAUUCUGGAUGUUUCUAUUAGUGUGCUUUCGUAAUCAUUCACUAGAAACCACAUUACACUUUUUAAGAGGAUACUAAUAUACAAAGAACACACAUACACUAUACUCAUGAAAGUGUCAAAAUUAAUCCUCAGAGUCACACCAUCACCCGUUUAUUUAUUUAAUUUGUUUUACAUUAAACGGAUUCAUCAUAAAUAUUUUGUUAAGGGACAAUGUCUCAAAAUGUUAAUGUAUUUUUUAAAAUAAAAUAUGGUUUAAGUUUAGCAGAACACAAGUGCAUCUUUUAUGAAUUACAUACACUCAAAUAGUACAACAAAAACACUACAACACAAAAGUAUAAACGCUUAGUACAAAUUCUAUUUACUUUAUCUUUCCGUGUUGAGUUAUCCUGUCACACAUCAGUCCAUUCAAUUGGAUGCGUCAUGUACCAGCCUUGAUAUAAUAUCAUUUGACUGUAUUUUGAUGCAUCAAGUACUGUAAAUGGACCAUUAUGUUUGUAUAAUGAGCAAAGAAAAACUGCUGCCAAUAUUUGAGAUAACAUUUGGAGUACCGAAUUCUGAACACUAGACACUUCAAUUACUCCAAAUUUACAACAAUUUGCAGUAUCUCAAUUUAUACACUUAAUUGAAGAUUGGAUCAACUUAUACACUUAACUGAACAAAUGAUGACAUCAUUUAAUCAAACUUGAGAAGUUGUCAAACAUUAAGAAGUUGUCAAACAUUAAGCAAGAUGGAGUUUAUCAGUAGUGUGUAGUCCGAUUAAGCAUUCACAGUGUAUUAACCUUCAGAGGAAAGAGGGAUCAACUUUCUGUCAAGGACAACUUCUGGCUUCAUUUUGAUAGUGCCAUCGAUGCCCACGACUGGUAACUGUGAAGAUGGGACAACUGUUGGACCAAUAUGCUUCUUGAUUUGGCUGACAUGGAAUGCGUUGUGGAGCUGGCAACCCUCUGGUAGCAGUAAUUUGUAAGCAUGUUUUCCGAUCCUUUGUAACACCCUGAAGGGACCAUAAUACUUGGAAUGCAGCUUUAGGUGCGUGUGUAAACUGAGAUAUGUGUGUCUGUAUGACUGUAAUUUCAAGUACACCAUAUCUCCCAUUUGGAACUCUCUCUCUUUCCUCUUUUGAUCAGCAUAAUACUUCAUCCUAGCUCGUGCCUUGCUUAAAUUCUGCUUAAUCACCUCCACUGCCAGCUCUCUGUUUUGCAGCAAGUUAUUACUCUCUUACCAAAUAGUGUCCGACAGGGCUGAUUCAGCCACCAUCGGAGGAGGGAAGCCAUACAGAGCCUGAAAUAGAGUCAUUUGCAGUGAUGUAUGGAAACAAGUAUUGUACCACCACUCUGCUAAGGCUAACCAUCCAUGCCAGUUCUUAGGCUACUGAAAACACAUGCAUCUCAAGUAUUUUUCCAGGCACUGCUUGACUCUCUCAGUCUGACCAUCAGAUUGAGGAUGAUAGCUUUUGCUCAUAUGCAGCUUAACCAUCAUAGAUUUGACCAGUUGUUGCCACAAGUUACUUGUAAAGAUUAUGUCCCUGUGUGUAACAAUGACCAAAGGCAUCCCAUGUAACUUAAAUUCAUUGUCAGAGAAAGCCCUGGCCACAGAUUGUACUGUGAUCGGGUGUUUCAUAGCUAUAAAAUGAGCAUAUUUAGUAAAUCUGUCCACUACCACUAGAAUCAAGUCCUUGUUCUCAGAAACAGGCAAUCCCUCAACAAAAUCCAUACUGAUAUGAGCCCAAAAUCAGGAAGUGGGAGGGGUUCCAACAAACCAGGGUAGGGGGAAUGCUCAAUUUUAUUAAGUUGACAGACUGGGCCUUUUCUAACAAAGACAAUCACAUCUUGUUUUAGGCCCUGACAGUGAAAGACUAGCUUCACUCUAUGAUAUGUAGCCCUUUCUCCAGAAUGCCCCCUAGCUCUGAGUUAUGAAACACCUUCAGGAUAUCUUCUCUUAGAUCAGUUGUUGUGCCCACUACUAUUUUGUUUAUGUAUCUGAGUAUCCCAUUUCUAAAAGAAUGAGCACUAGUGCUUCCUUUAUCCACCACAGAAGCAACUACUAAUUCUUUGAUCUUGUCAUGUGCGUCAUAAUUCUUGAUCACUUCUUUGACCCAAGUAGGUGUAGCAGCACUAGCUUUUAGUGAAGAGAAUUUGUGUUUAACCCUUGAUAGUGCAUCAACAGCUCUAUUUUCUUUGCCCUUUUGUAUUCAAUUGUGAAAUUAUAUCCUAGGAGUUUGAGUAGCAACUUAUGCUGAAUUCCUUUGGUGAUUUUUUGCUCUUGGAUAUACUUGCGGCUUUCCUGAUCCGUUUUGAUCACUAAAGCAGUUGCUAGGAAGUAAUGUUUCCAUUUUGUCACUGCCUCAAUAAUUGCCAUUGCCUCCUUUUCAUAAGUUGACAUGGAUGCAGCUUUUGGGCCAAUGGUUUUACUCAAGUAAGAAAUGGGCCCGUCCUCUUGCAUUAGUACAACCCCUAGGCCAUAUCCACUAGCAUCAGUUUCCAGGAUAGAUGGUUUUGUAAAAUCAGGUAGUGCUAAUACAGGGGUGCUAGAAAGUUUGUGCUUCAGGGCCAGAAAGGCUUUUUGUUGGUCCUCUUGCCAAUCAAAUGCAUCUUUCUUCAAGCAAUCAAACAAGGGCAUGCAAAUAAUUCCAUACCCUGAAUAAACCUUCUAUAAUACCCACUUAAACCUAGGAAACUUCUGAGUUCAGUGACAUUAACAGGCACAUGCCACUCCUGUAUAGCUUUGAUUUUGCAAGGGUCUGUGGACACCCCUUCCUCAUUAAUGACGUGACCCAAGUAUUCUACUUCUUUUUGACCAAAAGCGCACUUAUCCAGUUUUGCAUAUAACUUGUGCUCUUGAAGAAUAUCAAAGACCUGUGUCAGAUGGUCGUGAUGUUCCUCUAUAGAGACACUGAAAACCAAGAUAUCAUCAAAGAAUACUACCACAAAUUUGAGGAGGCCAAACAAUAGAUUCAUCAGUAAUUGGAAAGUUGGGGGCCAUUAGUGAGACCAAAGGACAUCACCAAGUACUCAAAUAAGCCCAUAUGUGUGGAGAAAGCAGUUUUUGGUAUAUCUUCUUCAGCCAUUCUUAUCUGAUGAUAACCAUUCCUCAGAUCAAUCUUAGAGAAAUACUUUGCUCCUUUCAGCUGAUCCAGUAAGUCUUCAAUUACUGGUAUUGGGUACUUAUUUUCACAUUGAUAGCAUUCAACUUUUGGUAGUCAGUGCAGAACCGCCAUGAUCCAUCUUUCUUCUUCACUAGCAAAGCAGGGAGGAAAAUGGACUAGUACUAGGUCUUAUUAUUCCUUUCUUUAAUAAGUCUAAGAUAAUCUUUUCCAAUAUCUCCUUUUGGUGAUGGGGCACUCUAUAUGGUCUUUGGUUCACUAGUUUUGCUCCCUCCAUCAAUGGAAUCCUGUGAUCACAAGGUCUACUAGGAGGUAACCCACUUGGCUCUUGGAACAACUGUUCAUACUGUUGUAGGAGGGGUUGUAAUUCAGGUGGCACUUCUUUUGUUGUAACAAUAAAGUCAGUUCGACAAGUAGUGAACAAGAAAAAUUCACACACAUCUUGUUCUAGGAGUUUUUCUGUAUUCUCUUUGGUUUCAGGAACAGUAUUUAAGGGGACAAUUUCAUCAAGAAAUGUUAUCAUUUGACCCUGGCUAGUGGAAAUUGUCAGUUCCAUUUUAACAAAAUCCAUCUGAACUGGGCUAUAUUUCUUUAGCCAAUCCACUCCCAAAAUCAUAUCAUAGCCAGUCAAUUUGAGAACUCUAAAAGUGUCACAGAACUUAUUGCCCUCAAUCUCAUAUGGACAAUUCUUGAAUGUGAAUUCAUUCCACAAGAUCUCCCCACUUGCCACUACUACCUUCACUCUAGUGCUUGCCACAGGUGCAAUUGGCAUUUUGCUAGCCAUCUCAGGGGACACAAAGGUAGGAGUGCUUCCACUAUCCACUAGAGCAGUAGCAGUAAUUUCCCCAAUCUUUACUAACAAUAUGAAUGUAUUUCUAGCAGUACUGAGACCAUUAGCAUCAUGCAAUGACACCUACAACAAUGUCUCCUCUGGGGGUGGUUCCUGUUGUUCCAAAUCAGGGUCCUCAAAGUCUGUUACAUAAAUCACAUCACACUGCUCUGCUUCCUGAGCUUGUAAGGCUUGAAUUUGUGCUUUUUGGCUCAUUCUACACACCUGCCUAUGUCCUGGUACCCAUGGUUCUCUACACUUGUAGCAUACUUGGUUUUGCUUAGCUUGCUGAAUAACAAUAUUUCUAUUAGGUACAGUGCUAUUCCCAGGUGGAUUAGGCUGAUCAAAGUUUACUUGUCUUCUGGUCUGAGGAAAAUAAGGUCUGGUUGGAACUACCACACGUGGUACUUGUGCUCAAUAGGUGUUCUAGGAGGUGAAAAGUAUUGUUCCAAAUUCUGAUAUGUUCAAUUUAGCUGGUUUCACUAACAAAGGGCCCCUUCUGGCAUCCAUUGGAGUGUUCAAUCUUCUCUUGUAACUGUUAUCAUAUCCCUCCACUUCUGGUAGGUUAUCCGACACUACCACAAGCUGUUGUGCUAUGGUAAUUCAUGUUUGUUCUCCUUUGUUCUGUCCAAAAUUCGGAUGUCUGUAAGGGACCUUGGGUGUGCCAUCUAAGUUUAGUUCUUUACCAUUUCGGUCUCUCUAGACAGCAGCGCCUGUUGCUUGCUGUGUAGCUUUGUCGGGCAUUGUCACUGAUGGGGGUGUAGGUGUUGCUACCUGUUUGGGGCUCCGUGGAGCCACACGAGGGGAAACAUUUGGGUUAUCUUUGCCAUGAGCAAUGCCUUGGGCAGACAGCAUAUCGCCUUCCUCUGUUGGUUCCGGCUCUGGAUCGAGCAACAAGCGCCUAAAAUUAUCGUGAAUCUUGUCAAAGAUUUUCUACAUCGUCACAAAAUUCUUGUUGACCAUAGCCUGAAACUGCUGGAACUCCUUCCGAUCUUCCUCUCUCUCUCUCGUUGUAAGGUCUUGAUGUCGAGUUCGAGGGAUUCCAGCUAUAGUUCAACUGUUGUAAUCGAGUCCCCAACCUCUGCCAUCUUGUCCAGCCAGAAUCACCACAACCACUCGGGAGGGAGGGUAGGGAUUGUACCUUGUCGCCACCGCUGAUACCGCCGCCAGCGCCCGCCUCCGAUGGUACACGGACAGAUCUUCGACCCUGGGGUUUUACCACUCGAGAAAUGAGCUCUGGCAACCAGGCAAAAGCUCUGAUUGCACUCGAAUUGUGCCACUCCGACCGCCACCCACUACUUCGUCGCCUAUUUGGGAUCCGGAGAGGGAUUUUACAGCAUCGACCAACCUCUUCGUCUCGCCCACUCCACCAGCCGAGGAAAGACUGGGCCUAUGAUACCAAUUGUCAGGAACUGACUACGUUUGGGAAGUUUAUGAACACUAGAUCACACAAAUUCAGGAGAUUUGGGGGGAUUCAAGUUAGGGUUUAUAACUCACAAAGGGAAAGUGGUUCACCUUGCCACCGGUGGCUAGGGUUUACACCCGAUACAUAAUAAUCAUAGUCCCAAAAGAAAGAGAGGGUGCUGGCUUUAUAGCCAUUACAAAGUAAAGCAGAGCAGGAAAGAAAGGCACGCUCAUAGCUGUGCCAGAAAGUAAUCAACUGUCGAGGCAGCCCGACGAACCGGUAUCUUCAGAUGUGAGCCGUUGGAUGCGAUAUCGUCCUUCCCAGCUUCACCCGACAUGCGGGAACAUGGGACUCUGUUUUACGGCCUGACACAACCGUAGGUGGGCGGUAGCGCAGGUGGGAAGCGCGGUCGCUACAACAGCUGCCGAAGGUGGCUACGAAGACUGCUUGAUCUAGCCAUGGGCGAAGCAGGAAGAAGCAUAAGCGAGGGGGGAUUAGUAGGAGAUUCAAGAUCAGAAGUUUUUUUUUUGCAAAGUCAGAAAUGAACUAAGUUGCGGACAAUCUUUUUCGGACGGAGGGAGUACUAAUAAAAAGCCAGAAGGCAAUUUUCUUUCGUGUUGGUUCUAGUUAUUUUCAGAACAACAUAAAAAUCUAAGAAAUCCAUGGAGGACUCGUAGGAGGGAUCAAGAAGCUGCAAGAACGGGGAGUUGGGGGGAAGGGUUGGCACAUCCAGCCUCCCUACACCGGCCCUCUAGAUUUUGUUUCCAGAAGUGACCUUUGGAGGGCACCUUGUCACUCAUGUGUGCAUCACCCAUAAUUUUUUAUUUCUUGGAGUUACUCCAUGAAUCAAUUAAAAUGUGCACGGGAUCCAGAAACUAACUAGAGAGGACUCCCGAAGAGUUACAAUCUAAUAUAGGGGAGAGGCUCUCGCUCUCCAACCAACCUCCAUCGAUACGAAAACUAGAGAGGACACAUCCCUCCUUGCAAGGGGAGAAUGCCAAGGAAGAGGGAGAUCGACCCCGAUAUGUCUCAAACAUAUCUAUAAUUUUAGUUAUGUUCAUGGUAUUUGUAUAAUUUAUAUGUGGUUUAACAUUUUUUAAUCUUUUUUGGACUAACAUAUUAGUUUGAUGCUAAGUGUUACCUGUUGUUUUCUGGUGUUUUUUGUGCAAUAAGAAAAAGUAUUUCCCAUGAAUAAAAAAUAUUUCGUAAAGUUUUUAGUUAGAAGGAAGGAUGGGCCAAACGUACUAGAGGGCAACAACCAGGGGUCCAUAGCCCCCACAUGCCCAAAGGGUAUGGCACGCGGGGUGAGGGCACCAUAGCCCCCCUCUUCGUCCUGAUGUCUUUAUAUAGUCCUAAAACCCUUAGAGACAAGUGCUGCUAAUUUUUCGAGGCGAUUUAAUCUUGAGUCAUUUUUUUGGUACUCUAUCGGAGGACCAUCACGAACGCCUUCUUCAUCAAUCUUGCUAGUCCCAUGACCAUGUGUGAGUAGUCCUCCUUGCACUAUGGGUCCAUAACAAUAGUUAUAUGACAUCACCUCUGUCAUGUUGUUCAAUACAAAGAUCAGAUGAGCUGCCAACAUGAUUGUGAUCAAUCCUAUGUAAUCCCGAUGAGUUUUUUGCAGGGUGAUGAAUUUCACUUUAUUACCAAUAUAUAUAUGAAUUUUUAUUUGUUUUGUUUUCGUUCUUUUCAGUCUCCAUGCCGCCAAAUCUAAUAUUUGUCUUCACUUGCUAUGGCGUGCCUCUUCCUACUGUGUUACUCAAAUUUAAGGAUGGGAGACCCAGCUGUGAACUUGUUUCUUUGGAUUCACGAAAGCAAAAAAUAUGUUUAUUGGGGGGGGGGGGGGGGGGNNNNNNNNNNNNNNNNNNNNNNNNNNNNNNNNNNNNNNNNNNNNNNNNNNNNNNNNNNNNNNNNNNNNNNNNNNNNNNNNNNNNNNNNNNNNNNNNNNNNNNNNNNNNNNNNNNNNNNNNNNNNNNAUGUUCAACUUGUUAUCCUGGCCUAUGACAAUGUAACAAACAUUGGAUGUGUGCAUCUAUGAUGCAAAGGCCACAGGCCAGAAACAAUAUAUUUUCAUUUUCAAAGAGAAAAAUAAAGAUAAGUUUUUUUUUUUUGAAAAGGAGGAAAGUCCCCGGCCUCUGCAUAGAUAAGUUUUCUUUGUACACCAAAAAAACAACUGGUAUACUAAAUUCAUAACAUAGAUGUUCUGUUUUGGUGCCGUUGUGGCAUAAGAUGAUCUGGUAAUACAUUCGCUCAAUGACCAACAACACUUCAUGAUCCCUUGUAGAUGAAAUCCGUAGCAAGGUCAUGCAACACAAUAUGGUAACCAGCUGCAUUCACCUUUUACACACAACUCUUUUGAAUUUGUAGCAUGUGAGAUCAGAAGGUCAUGGCAAUACACUCCUCCCUUACAGCUGCAAAGAGGUCAGAGUUCAUGUAUCUCUCGCCCCCGCUCGGGAACAUGGUCACAAUCAUCUUCCCCUUGUUCUCUUCUCUCUCCGCGACCUAAAAGGGUUACGAAAGAUCAGGAAGUGAAAUCUUAAGAUAACUCAAACUCAAAGAAAGUUUGCCCC